GACGAACGCUGGCGGCGUGCCUAACACAUGCAAGUCGAGCGGGGGGAGUACUUCGGUACAAACCUAGCGGCGGACGGGGUAGUAACACGUGGGUAACCUGCCUCAACGUGGGGGAUAGCCUUCCGAAAGGAAGAUUAAUACCGCAUCACCCAUAGCUUCCGCAUGGAAGCAAUGGUCACGAUUUAUCGCCUUGAGAUGGACCCGCGGGGCAUUAGCUAGUUGGUGAGGUAACGGCUCACCAAGGCCACGAUGCGUAGCCGACCUGAGAGCGUGAUCGGCCACAUUGGAACUGAGACACGGUCCAGACGCCUACGGCAGGCAGCAGUGGGGAAUAAUGCACAAGGGGCGAAAGGCUGAGGCAGCGACGCCGCGUGCGGGAAGAAGGACCUCGGGUUGUAAACCGCUUUCAGGAGGGACGAAGCCACUCGGGUUAAUAGCCCAGAGGGUGA
rnacentral:rRNA from 1 species